CGUAAUCACUUGUCCUCUAAAUAGGGACUCGUAUGAAUGGCUACAUGAGGGCCUAACUGUCUCCUCCUACUAGCUAAUGAAUCUGAUCUUCCAGUACAAAAGCUGGAAUAAACACAUAAGACGAGAAGACCCUGUGGAGCUUUAGAUUACAUACUAAACCAUUAAUUAUAGUAUGCUUCUUUAGUUGGGGCGACUACGGAACAAAACAAAACUUCCAUGUUACGGAGAGACCUCCUUACAAAGGUAUACAUACCACUGUAAAAAUUUAUAUGACCCAGCACUGCUGAGCAACGAACUAAGUUACCCCAGGGAUAACAGCGCUAUCCUCUUCAAGAGCCCGUAUCACCAAGAGGGUUUACGACCUCGAUGUUGGAUCAGGAC
rnacentral:rRNA from 1 species